rnacentral:misc_RNA from 1 species
GAUGCACUAGAAGCCAUCGACAACAACAAAAGAGUAGCUACAACGGCACUAAGUGAGGAGGAGAGAGAAACCACGCACGUGGAAGCAGAAACUUCUCAACAUUGAUCCGGCAGCCUUUUUGAACAAUUUAAGUGGCAUUGGAAUCCUCAUAAACCUAGCUUUCUUUUGGGGCCAACCUUGCUAAGAAUGGUGGUUGAAGAAAAAAAUUAGGGAAGACAGAAGUUUUAGGUUUUUUUAGGUUGCCGGCUAAUCGGUGAUCGAAAUGGAUGAUAGGGCCCAAUAAUCUCCAUCUACUCUUUGCAAGCUUCAAUUUGACACCCACCAUGCCUUGAUUAGAGUUCAGAUGAAGAAUUACUUAUCUGAUGGCCUAAACUAAAUCGGGCGAUAGGCAACUGAAGUGGAGUUUUGACAAAUUGUCUACGAAUCUGUCACAGUAGCUCAUGGGCAUUCCGAAUAUGCACUCGGAUUAAUGAUAGUUUACUGGUGGCCAGAAUCGAGUUUUCGGCCUAAUCUAGAUGCCCCACGGCUCGUCUUGGUACACAGUCAAUAUUACAGUCGAUUCUAGUAUUUUUAGACAUUCUAGAUGUGCUCCACAUAGCAAAAUU